rnacentral:misc_RNA from 1 species
GAUGAAGAACGCAGCGAAAUGCGAUAAGUAAUGUGAAUUGCAGAAUUCAGUGAAUCAUCGAAUCUUUGAACGCACCUUGCGCUCCUUGGUAUUCCGAGGAGCAUGCCUGUUUGAGUGUCAUUAAUAUAUCAACCUUCUCUUUUUUGAGUUGUUUGGAUGUGGGGGUUUGCUGGCCUCUUAAAUGAUUCAGCUCCCCUGAAAUGCAUUAGCAGAACAACCUGUUCAUUAGCGUGAUAAUUAUCUAUGCUAUUGAAUGUGAGGGCAGUUCAGCUUUCUAACCGUCCUUGGACAAUUCAUCAUUAAUGUGACCUCAAAUCAGGUAGGACUACCCGCUGAACUUAAGCAUAUCAAUAAGCUGAGGA